AUUGAACGCUGGCGGCAGGCCUAACACAUGCAAGUCGAGCGGAUGAAGGGAGCUUGCUCCUGGAUUCAGCGGCGGACGGGUGAGUAAUGCCUAGGAAUCUGCCUGGUAGUGGGGGAUAACGUCCGGAAACGGGCGCUAAUACCGCAUACGUCCUGAGGGAGAAAGUGGGGGAUCUUCGGACCUCACGCUAUCAGAUGAGCCUAGGUCGGAUUAGCUAGUUGGUGGGGUAAAGGCCUACCAAGGCGACGAUCCGUAACUGGUCUGAGAGGAUGAUCAGUCACACUGGAACGGAGACACGGUCCAGACUACUACGGGAGGCAGCAGUGGGGAAUAUUAGACAAUGGGCGAAAGCCUGAUCCAGCCAUGCCGCGUGUGUGAAGAAGGUCUUCGGAUUGUAAAGCACUUUAAGUUGGGAGGAAGGGCAGUAAGUUAAUACCUUGCUGUUUUGACGUUACCAACAGAAUAAGCACCGGCUAACUUCGUG
rnacentral:rRNA from 1 species